UACAGAGGUCUCAACCGUUGUUCGGAUUCAUUGGGCGUAAAGGGUGCGUAGGCGGUCGCGUAAGUCGGGUGUGAAAUCCCAGGGCUCAACCCUGGAACUGCAUUCGAUACUGCGUGGCUCGGGUACUGGAGAGGAGACUGGAAUUUACGGUGUAGCAGUGAAAUGCGUAGAUAUCGUAAGGAAGACCAGUGGCGAAGGCGAGUCUCUGGACAGUUACCGACGCUGAGGCACGAAGGCCAGGGGAGCGAACGGG
rnacentral:rRNA from 1 species